AGAAGCUCCACAGAGACUGCUGAGGACACGCGCUGCAUAAAGCAGCUUUUGACUACUCCAUGACUCAGAGGAAAACCCAGGACACUCGUUAUAAAAUGUGGGGCCAGAAACUCCUCCACCAUCCAAAAUAAGCCUCUGUCUCGUUCAGCCUGCUGGCUGAAAGGACAAGUAUCCAGCUGCUUGCACUAAGAUCACAGGAAAAUAUCUGAGGAGAUGAGAUCUGGUUGAUUUUCCUCCAGACUUCAGCAAGGUGAGUGAGACACCUGAUCUAGGCCCUCACUGUUAUUUCUCU
rnacentral:lncRNA from 1 species